rnacentral:rRNA from 1 species
AGAGUUUGAUCCUGGCUCAGGACAAACGCUGGCGGCGUGCCUAACACAUGCAAGUCGCACGUCCUUUUUCUUCUUCGGAAGAGGGAGGGAGUGGCGGACGGGUGAGUAACACGUGGGUGACCUACCCCGAGGUGAGGGAUACCGGGGCGAAAGCCUCGACAAGCCCGCAUAGGUUUUUCUCGGUAGACGAGGGAAGCAAAGCAGCGAUGCGCCACGGGAGGGGCCUGCGUCCGAUUAGCUGGUUGGUGGGGUAAGAGCUCACCAAGGCGAUGAUCGGUAGCUGGUCUGAGAGGACGAGCAGCCACACUGGGAUUGAGAACGGCCCAGACUCCUACGGGGGGCAGCAGUGAGGAAUAUUCGGCAAUGGGCGCAAGCCUGACCGAGCAACGCCGCGUGCAGGAAGACACUUUUCGGAGCGUAAACUGCUUUUCUGUGGGACGAGCGAGGACGGUACCACAGGAACAAGCCUCGGCUAACUACGUGCCAGCAGCCGCGGUAAUACGUAGGGGGCGAGCGUUGUCCGGAGUUACUGGGCGUAAAGGGCACGCAGGCGGUGCGGCGCGUGUCGCGUGACAGCGGGUGGCUUAACUGCCCGAGGGUGCGACAGACGGCCGGACUUGAGGGCCAGAGAGGGACCUGGAAUUCCGGGUGGAGUGGUGAAAUGCGUAGAUAUCCGGAGGAACACCAAAGGCGAAGGCAGUGUCCUGGCUGAUACCUGACGCUCAGAGGCGACAGCGAGGGGAGCGAACGGGAUUAGAUACCCCGGUAGUCCUCGCCGUAAACGAUGACCACGAGAUGUCCGGGGGAUCGACCCCCUGGGUGUCGCAGCUAACGCAGUCAGUGGUCCGCCUGGGGAGUACGGUCGCAAGAUUAAAACUCAAAGGAAUUGACGG